AACAAGCGACCCCAACAUAUACCAUUACAAAGCCCUAAAACACCAAGAGCUGAGCGUAAGUAAAAGUCCCCUGUGCCAGCUGGUGCUGAGACUGACUGACCUCACACCCGCUGAGAUCUGCCAGCCUCAGGACUCACACACACUCACACACAUUCGGCUUACACAAAUUAUAAACACAGAAAAAGACAAGUACAUCACCCAUUGGACAAACACCAUUAAAAACCAACACAAACUGGAAUGUUAUUCGGCACUAAAUUGAGAAUACGCUAUUGCGAACUACCUGAGCACAGUGAGUGAUGCGAAACUCAGGAAAACACUGAUGGUGUACAGACUCAGCGAGCACAGUCUGGCCAUAGAGACGGGCCGGCGCAGACAGACCUGGCUCUCCCGUGAGGACAGACUGUGCUCGCACUGCAUCCUGGGAGUGACGGAGACGGAGCUGCACUUCCUCACAGAAUGCCCAAAAUACCAAGAUAUCAGAGACCACUACUUCCCCAAAAUUAAUAAAAUAUUCCCCCAAUUUAACUCCUAUAGCCCAAUCCAAAAACUAUAUUACAUUCUUGGUGAAGAAGACAAAUGUUCCAAUAUAGCUGCAAGAUUUGUUGCAUCUUGCCAUCUCCUGAGGGACAACCAGAAAGAAACAAACAGCCAAUAAACACAUCCCCAUUAGACCUACACACUGUAUAUACUGUAUAUAAUGUUCAAAUUCUAAGUUCAGUUAUUACAUGAUUUCUGUAUUAUAAUCUUUUUUAUUUAUUAUUUUUAGAAUUAUUCUAUUUUGUUACUAAAAUUAUUUUUAUUAAUUUUAUUAUUUUCUACAUAGGCUUUACUCAGAUGUUCUGUUAUUCUAAAUAUUUUUCUAUGUUGGUUAAAUGCUUUGGCAAUACAAAAUGUAUUUUUUUGUCAUGCCAAUAAAGCUAUCUGAAUUGAAUUGAGAGAGAGAGAGAGAGAGAGAGAGAGAGAGAAGUCAUUGGCCUGUGUAUUUCACAUGAAAACAACCAUCUGUAAUUAAUUAAUUAUGAAAAGAUAUAAUUUCAUGGCCUAAAUGUUUUAGUUAUAUUCACAUUAAAUAUUGAUGUAUAAUUUCUCUUGAAUGUACGUUAUAGGUUACAUUUCAUCAGCAAGUCCAUCCAUACAGAGCAAUAUUUAACUGACAUAUUAAUUCUUGUUUCUUUUUCUCCUUUUCAUUGUGUGUAAUCAGAUCAUUGGUUCUGCUCUGUAAGUAUUCGACUCACUGUCUGACACAUUCUCAGUUUUUGUAUUGUAGAUUGCACCAUAUAACUGUACUUUCAUAAACAUUUUGCUUGUUAUCUGUUAAUCUUUUGGGUAUCACUGUAUCUGACAGUACAGUGGUGCCAUGUGUCACAUUCUCAGAUGUCAUUGUACAUAUUCAUGAAUAAAAGAUUUAAACUGGCUUCAUACCAUUGAAAUGUUGUUUGUCCUCUCUCUUUUCAUUAUUCUUUGCCAUCUAGUCCUGAUUCCUGACUACAAGUCUUCAGGAUGACCAGGAACUACAGGACGGUUUGAGCUACACUCUGCAGGACGUUGGUCCUCCAUGACCAGGACUGGACACCACUGUCCUAAAUAAACCUAAGGAGAGCCGCUCAAGCACAGGUCACUGCAUCUUUUGCUGUAUAAAAAAGCGCACAAAAAGCGGCCAGGCCACAGCUUCCAAAGUGGAAACUCCUGUUAAAUCAUGGCUCCAUAAUGCAAGAGACUGGGAUGGUGGAAGGAGCAGAAGAACCAGAAGACUGGAGAUCAGGCAAAGAUCUACUGGUACCCGAGGGGAUUGAUCACUCAUCUCCAUCCACAAAUGAAUGAUUUCUGAAUGAUCAUGUGACACUGACAACUGGAUGCAGGCUGCUGAAUAUUAAGUUUUAACAUCACAGGAAAAUUUUACUUUGUAAAAUAUAUUAAAACAGUUCAGGGCUCGACAUUUUCCUGUGACGAGUAAAUCGGUCAUUCACAAACUCUGUUGUAAAUACAAUUUAUUCUGCAGCAUCAGUGUUAAGGCCGGCUGUGACGUAUAAAUCUGCAUAUUUAUGAUAUUUUUACCUUUAUAAAGGGCAUUUUCCCCAUUAUUAAAUAAAUGCUU